AAAUGUCACCUGCCCCUUUAAGGGCGGAAUUUUACGGUGGUAAUGUGACUCGAGUCAUGUUUGUGCCUGUGAGAUUGAAUAGUAUGGUGUUGCUUCUCUUACCUAGCAGUUGAAACUCAAACUUGAAAAACAACUUAGCUUGUGAACGAAACAAAGUCUCAUUUCAGUAGACCUCCGUUUUCAAGGAAAUUAAAGACUUUUAUGCCUGUGUGCAGCGCUUCUAAAAAUGAAUCUGUCACUCAGAUCUUCACGUGCGCACGCACAGCCCCCAGCCAGGCGGUGUUGCAGCGCGAGGCAGAAAUACUUCUUCAGGUCAGGGAGAUAUAACCAUAUUCUCUAGAAUGCCAUGGCAUACAGACAAUGCAAAUGCUACAGCAACUCCAGGCACACGGAACCUCAGCUCUGGUCCGGCGGGCCGCAGACAGGCUGGGAGAGAGUCAAAUGUGCAUAUUAAUAGGCUUGUUUGUCCAACAUUGGAAUGAUAUUCUAAUAUUAUACAUUUCCAUUACCUAAAUAAUUACAUAUGUGAUGCCUGGCCAGCCAUAUCAUUGUUUGAAACCUGGACAUUUUACAAAGCCUAGCUUACCUUGAUUUUAAUGGCCUACAGCCAAAAUGUGACUAGAAAAAAAGCUUUCCUGAUAUGCCAUUGAAACCAGCAUUAUUCCUCCUACUGUCCGAAGGCAGUAAGGCACAAUCCUAUUGUUGCAUCUUUAGAUAUUUCCUCUUUCUAAGAUAGCAUUUUGGAACAUUCAGGUGUAUGGCUGAGAUGAGUGAACACAUUACUGCGCAUGUAAUGUGAAUAAUUCGUAGUUUAUCAACUUUUAAGCUAAAUGUUGUGAUCUGUUUCAUCAGCCUCGUCUUUGUUAAAAUAUUUUGUAUGCAUUUUAUAUUUUUCUGGCCUAUCGUCCCGCAACUGUCCCAGCGUCUGUUAUGAACCGUCCCAGACACAUUUUUUUAUCGUCCGACGGGACGCCCUUAAUUUCGAGCCCUGAGUGUGCCUUCUCAGCAUAUCUAGUCUGUUUAAACAUUCAUCCACGUAUGCACGAAACACACAGUCACACACACUCCAGACGAGACAGUUAUCACUUGAAUGUCAAUGGAUCAAUGAGAAACGGGGAGGAGUAGCAGUGGAAGCUGGGAUAGAACACCAGUUCUCACCUCACUCAAAGUACCAUUACACUGGGAUGAUAACUAAUGAUGGAGGAGAAAAUCCAUGUAGUUAAAUCUCAAUAUUAUUUUGGAUGAAAUUAUAUCGAUACUUUGACUUUUUUGCUAGAUAGCGUUAGCUAGCGCUACUCGGCUGCACCUGUGCCAAAACACUGGUAUUUGUCAUCCUAUAGCUUGUUCUCCAUCUUUUUAAAUAGUGAGCCAAGUUGCUUUCAGGACAUUCAUUUUUAUGACUUAUUUUAUCAUGCUCGCUUGUCUUUCUUUCCCCCUCACCUUUAUUUAACUAGGUAGGCCAGUUGAGAACAAGUUCUCAUUUACAACUGCGACCUGGCCGCUUGUCUCGGCAGCAGACAUGUAGUGAGAAAUAUGUUUGGAACAUCGAAUCGCAAUACAUAUCAUAUCAUGAGGUCCCUGGCAAUUCCCAGCCUUACUGCAAACACCCAGCCGUCUGGGAGUCAGCCUAGCGUACUAGCUUUCCAAUCAAUAGUUUCUAAUUGGAUUCAUAGUUGACAUUGUCACAAGGUUGACUUGGCUUAGCUCAAGCUAUUGUUAUUUUUGUUUUGUCUUCUCUUCUCUAAUCUUGUCAGUACAAACAUUGGUGACAGAGUCCAGUGAUAUACUGUGUGAAGUAGCAUGUACCUAUGUUUUUAAUGAAGGCAGCGAAUGAGUGUGUACAGCGCAGGGCACUGCCACUUGAGUGAGGGACUCUUCAGUGAAAAACUGCCCCCGCAACUCUGUCUCCCUCAAUCUCGCUCGCGCUCUCAUUCACCCACUCACCCCCCCCCCCCUUUUCUGUCUCCCUCUGUCGAUUUGACCCUGCGUGUUUUGAUGAGCAUGGAGUGGAGAUGUGUGUGACAGAGAGAGAUUUGAAACGGGACGCUCCAUUUGUUGUGUAAAUGCAUCACUCCAUUAAUUGACUGCUCUGCUCCCUGCUUCUCCUUCAGCGGCUGAACCCUGCGCUCCGUGGGGUCCCAGAGAUCCUGCCCCUGUUGUGUGUGGGUGGGGGCUCUUCACUCACUCACUCACUCACUGAUGGCAACUUGCCAGGGGAAAGAUGGGCACCACUCACUGCUCCCCUUUCUUACUUUCUUUUUCUGGCUCUCUCUCUGGUCUUGUGAAAGCUAGAGAAGAGAGCUGCCAGUAUUUCCAUCUACGAUCUAAUUAAAUGUACUUUGUCUGGUAUAUUUGAAAAUAAGAUACAACUUUUGGGAGGCCUCCUUCAGCAACUUAAUCCGGAUGGACACUACACGACUUCCAAAAUCCUAACAUCUCUGAGCCUGUCACAUUAAACGACUAUCUUUCCUGUAGUUUUUUGUUUUGCCAACAUAGUGGUGCACCCACAAAAUGAUCUGUCACAGACAGGCUGUACGAUUCUUUAUUUGGUUGUGAGGAUUCUCGAUACCACGCUGUCCCUAGAAACCGCAACGAGAGUUUGUCACGAGCCAGACAGUGGCAAAACAAAGAUGGAGCUAGACAGUGAACAGCAGCUGGCCACACUUGUUGUGUGUGCGGGGAUGUGCACGGAGAAACAAGAAGAAAAGACCGCGAAUUUGGGUGAGGCCAUGGUUGAGGAGACGUGGCCAGUUUGGGUGGUCUGUACUGCAGAGAGAGUUGGAGGUAAAUAAAGCCCAAUCCACACAGCUAGCUAGCCUGCUAAUUUAUGUUUUCAUACAGUGCAUGUAGUAUGUCCUAAUAUCACUCAAAUAACCAAUAACAAGUACAGGUAUUCAAUGUGCCAAAAUCCAUGAAAUUAUUUGGUUAUGGGCCCAUUCUACAGUAUAAAGAAAUAGGUUGCUAUUGUGUUAUGGCUUUAGCACCAAAACAAAUUCCUAGAAAUGAUUGUUGCAUGGCAAUACAAUGAUCUGAUUCUGAUUCAGGACAUUUAGCUUGGGCUACUUUGUGCUCUGCCUUCACCUAUACUUUCCCCCCCACAUAGAGGCAUGAUAGGAUGUGUUUCAGCAAGAUGCUGUGGAUGACCUCCGACAAAUUAGAUUUCCUGCUGGGUAUGGCGGGAUCCCUCAUCAGAAAGGAGGACACCAAGAUGAGACGGGCAAUCACUGUGAAACGUUCAAAGGCCUCAGCUUCCAAUACAGGAUUGGGAACACCACUGUGUCCAAUAUUGUUAUGGAGACAUGUGAAGCCCUGCAUCAGGUCAUGAAAGAAGAAUUCCUGAAGACACCAGCAUCGGAGGCUGAAUGGCGGGCAAUUACCAAAUAUUUCGAAGAGAAAUGGCAGUUUCCGCAUUGCCUUGGUGCCCACGAGUUUUUCAAACAACCCCCUAGCCAACAGUGGCAGUAUGUAUCACAACUACAAGUCUAUGUUGUGGUUCGGUACAUGUCUGUGGGGGAUGAGGCAUACCCCCUAUGGACUGACCUGAUAAAGCCCUAUCCAUUUCGACCACGACCAGAGAAGCCGCAACUACCGCCUCAAGGGCAUGGAGAGUAGUUGAAAAUGCCUUUGGCAUCCUCGCUAACAGGCUGAGGUUGUUUAGGUCCACCAUUUGCCGUGAACUGGACAAGGUUACGAAGAUCACCAUGGCCUUCCUCUGCAUACACAACUUCCUCAUAGAGCGUAGGUCUGAGGUGUACACGCCACCAGCGUUUGCAGACUGGGAGGAUGCUGACCACUGGGUCAUCGAGGGAGCCUGGAGGAGACAUGGACUGGGUGUUCUGCAGUCAGUGGAGCCUGGAAGGGGAUGUUAACCCCACAAUCAGUGCAAAAGAACAACGGAACCUGCUAAGGGAUUAUUUUGUAUCACCUGCAGGUCAGGUUCCAUGGCUGGAGGAUCACAUUUAAGUCAUGGACGCAAGGGCUGUGUUCAUAUUCUGUUGGAAGGCAACCAUGCUUUACUGUGUGUAGCCUAAUGUCUAAGAAUUUAUGUAGUCACCACUAUUGAAUCUUGACUGUCAAAUGUGAUGACAGCUGUACUUCCUUUUUCAAUACAGUAAUUGUAAUAAAGUUAUAUAAAAGGCAUUUUCAGUAACAUGUUUCAAAAAUGUAUUGAAAGUAGUUCCAACCUGCAAAUUACACAUCCUGGUGUACCUACACCACACUCAACUUUCAAACACUCAACUGAAUACACAACGGCACAGCCAUAAAACUAGGUCAACAUUACUU